rnacentral:misc_RNA from 1 species
GAUGAAGAACGCAGCGAAAUGCGAUAAGUAAUGUGAAUUGCAGAAUUCAGUGAAUCUUCGAAUCUUUGAACGCACAUUGCGCCCGUCAGUAUUCUGGCGGGCAUGCCUGUUCGAGCGUCAUUACGCCCCUCAAGUCCCCUGUGGACUUGGUGUUGGGGAUCGGCGAGGCUGGUUUUCCAGCACAGCCGUCCCUUAAAUUAAUUGGCGGUCUCGCCGUGGCCCUCCUCUGCGCAGUAGUAAAACACUCGCAACAGGAGCCCGGCGCGGUCCACUGCCGUAAAACCCCCCAACUUUUUAUAGUUGACCUCGAAUCAGGUAGGACUACCCGCUGAACUUAAGCAUAUCAAUAAGCGGAGGA